UCUGUAAGUGUCGAGGAAUGGUGGUAAUGACACUUCGCCAAAUGAGAAUGUGGAGGAUCCUCUUGACUUGCAAUGUGUCCAGCAAAAUGGGCAAAUUGAGUUGACAAGUGAAUGGUGGUGAAGAGGUGUUGGGUAAUGUUGCUGCUAAGGAUGGUUUAAGGAACAAACCUAUACUAGAAGAAAGAUAUCUUGGUUUCAAGUUUGUCAUUCAUUGGGAGGAGGUGCAGGAUCAGGAUUGAUACCACAUGACAACAUAACUUGGAGUAUUCUGGGAACUGAUGCCUGAGCUGUUUUUUGGUUGGUUUGGAUGUGAUCAGUUGGAGGCUUGAACUAUCUCAUUUGU